UAAAUGAAAACCAAAAAGAGGUGUCUAGCUGUUAAUUAGAACAUUGUAAAAAAUUAUUAUUACUCGUUUAG
rnacentral:tRNA from 1 species